rnacentral:rRNA from 1 species
GACGAACGCUGGCGGCGUGCUUAACACAUGCAAGUCGAACGAAGAGCGAUGGAAGCUUGCUUCUAUCAAUCUUAGUGGCGUACGGGUGAGUAACGCGUACUCAACCUGCCCUUCAGAGGGGGACAACAGUUGGAAACGACUGCUAAUACCGCAUACGAUCUAAUCUCGGCAUCGAGGAUAGAUUAAAGGUGGCCUCUACAUGUAAGCUAUCACUGAAGUAGGGGAUUGCGUCUGAUUAGCUAGUUGGAGGGGUAACGGCCCACCAAGGCGAUGAUCAGUAGCCGGUCUGAGCGGAGGAACGGCCACAUGGGGACUGAGACACGGCCCAGACUCCUACGGGAGGCAGCAGUGGGGAAUCUUCCGCAAUGGACGAAAGUCUGACGGAGCAACGCCGCGUGAGUGAUGACGGCCUUCGGGUUGUAAAGCUCUGUUAAUCGGGACGAAAGGCCUUCUUGCGAAUAGUGAGAAGGAUUGACGGUACCGGAAUAGAAAGCCACGGCUAACUACGUG